UGACUGCCUGUAGGAACUCCUCAAAUCCCUAUCCUGGGCUAUGUAGUAAACUUUCUAUGGCACAGGUUUCUCUCAGUUACAUUCUAAUCUUAGUUUGGCCUUUUGCCCUUAAAAAUUAUGUUAUUACAGAUCAAGUAUCAGUCAGUGUUAAGGCUUGACUGUAUGAAAAAGGUAGAGCUGAAAAUUCCCACCAGCACUGCCAAAGGUACUGACUAGAAUAUGUAACAGAAACAGUGGAAAUAAUUAACCAGAGCUACCCACAGUAGGAUCCAAGGUACACAGAAUUGCACUCAUUGUUCUGUUGUUCUGGUAUGAGCUGCCCUGCCUGCUUUCCUCGCACUGAUAGUUCUGUGUGCUCGGAGAUUCAAUUACUCUGAUUCCUUGGCCUGAAUCCUAAUUCUAAUGGAAGUUGCUGAUGCUCUGCAACUGUUCUGCAGUUUUCAGUGACAGCUUGUGGCUUUCUUCUGCACCAUGUCUGCACAUUACAGGUGAAGAUACCUUCCACUGAGAUGCCAUCAUGAAGUGCCGACAGCAGGUGACUUCACCCAUUUGCAUGGAGCUGCCAGAGGAGCUGCGUCAGCUGGCAGACAUGCAGAAACUGAGAAGGGAGAAAGUAAUAGAAGACUACAGAAUGAAUGAGGAUGGUCUUUUGAUCCAACCAGCCAUGGAAUUUAAUAGAGGGAAACAAUCCACAGAAGGAUAGAAACUACAGAGAUGAUGUCGAUUUAUUUCCCACAAAAAAAAAAAAAAAAGGCAGGGUCUCACAACACAUCCUUCAACAAUCAAGGAUAUACUUUUUCAAAGCAGCACUUGAAACUCAAAUUCAUGUGGUAAAAUCUGUGGGAGGACCUUAAACCGUUCUCAAGCAGACUGUAUGAAUUUAAUUUCUGACACAGGUGAUUUGAUGAGCUUAGAUUGGAUGUUUGGAGACAUCCAAGUGAAAAAAGAGGCUACUCCCCUUGCAGAGGUGUCAAACAAAAGCUCCUGACUUUACAAUGAGAGGUAAUUCAACAUUCCACUGUCAAAUGGAAAUAACCAUGGUCUAUCUUUUGGAGGAAAUUCCUGCUGUGUCUGACCUUCUCUAGGUCUAUUUUUGAGAUCCAUUUUUUCCAAGAGAUAUUUUUGAAAAGUGACUUUUAUUUUUCUUGCAUUGUUAACAGACCACUUUCUUAAACUGUAUUAGUUCUUUCGCUACCUGCUGCAGGUAUGUAAAACUCAUUAGAGCAGCUUCCUGCUGGAAGAUGCAGACCAUCACCACCACCGUUGUUUGCCACGCUGCCGCAUCCAGCUCUGUGGAUAAGGCUGUAAGCUCUGUGCUGUGUGGUGUGUGUAAAAAGCACUUUAGGAGGUAUAGACCAGUCCCUCCCCAUUCAAAAUAAAGUAUUAGGGCAAAACUACUGCUCUACCACAGGACAAAAUUAAUGUAGGCCAUGCCUCAGUCUCAGAACAAGUUUUCUGACAUAUUGGCGAGCACUGAAUGUAGAAUAGGGAAGAAUGGAGAAGGUCAAAGGUCACUGUGCCAACCAGAUUGCAGUCCAAGAACAAUCUGGGCAUCAGGCUGCAAAGGUGGGAAUAAUGACACCAGUUUGGAAGGGAUGUGAGUACAUGCCACUACCUGUUUGAGUUGGUUUCCUUUGGAUGUAAAUUGGUGUGACUGCGUUUGAUGUAU